rnacentral:lncRNA from 1 species
UAGUUCUUUUUGGCUUUUUUUUUUAAAGUUUAAGUCAAGUAUAGUUAAGUUUAUUUACAAGUUUUAUUUAGAGAAGAAGUUUGAAAAUGCAAUGGCAUAAGGCCAAAGUUUCUAUCUUUUUGCAAAGUGGUCAAAGUUUAGAACAAAAUAAGUUCAAUCAAAGAAUAUUUUGAAAAGGGAGGGAGAGAUUUUGAAAUUAAAGAAGUGGGAAGAAGAUGAAGAGACUAUCC